rnacentral:rRNA from 1 species
GGUUAAGCGACUAAGCGUACACGGUGGAUGCCCUGGCAGUCAGAGGCGAUGAAGGACGUGCUAAUCUGCGAAAAGCGUCGGUAAGGUGAUAUGAACCGUUAUAGCCGGCGAUGUCCGAAUGGGGAAACCCAGUGCAAUUCGUUGCACUAUCGUUAACUGAAUACAUAGGUUAACGAGGCGAACCGGGGGAACUGAAACAUCUAAGUACCCCGAGGAAAAGAAAUCAACCGAGAUUCCCCCAGUAGCGGCGAGCGAACGGGGAGCAGCCCGGAGUCUGAAUCAGCUUGUGUGUUAGUGGAAGCGUCUGGAAAGUCGCAGGGUACAGGGUGAUACUCCCGUACACUAAAGCACACAGGUUGUGAACUCGAAGAGUAGGGCGGGACACGUGGUAUCCUGUCUGAAUAUGGGGGGACCAUCCUCCAAGGCUAAAUACUCCUGACUGACCGAUAGUGAACCAGUACCGUGAGGGAAAGGCGAAAAGAACCCCGGCGAGGGGAGUGAAAAAGAACCUGAAACCGUGUACGUACAAGCAGUAGGAGCCCACUAGUUGGGUGACUGCGUACCUUUUGUAUAAUGGGUCAGCGACUUAUAUUCUGUAGCAAGGUUAACCGUAUAGGGGAGCCGCAGGGAAACCGAGUCUUAACUGGGCGUUAAGUUGCAGGGUAUAGACCCGAAACCCGGUGAUCUAGCCAUGGGCAGGUUGAAGGUUGGGUAACACUAACUGGAGGACCGAACCGACUAAUGUUGAAAAAUUAGCGGAUGACUUGUGGCUGGGGGUGAAAGGCCAAUCAAACCGGGAGAUAGCUGGUUCUCCCCGAAAGCUAUUUAGGUAGCGCCUCGUGAAUUCAUCUUCGGGGGUAGAGCACUGUUUCGGCUAGGGGGUCAUCCCGACUUACCAACCCGAUGCAAACUACGAAUACCGAAGAAUGUUAUCACGGGAGACACACGGCGGGUGCUAACGUCCGUCGUGAAGAGGGAAACAACCCAGACCGCCAGCUAAGGUCCCAAAGUCAUGGUUAAGUGGGAAACGAUGUGGGAAGGCCCAGACAGCCAGGAUGUUGGCUUAGAAGCAGCCAUCAUUUAAAGAAAGCGUAAUAGCUCACUGGUCGAGUCGGCCUGCGCGGAAGAUGUAACGGGGCUAAACCAUGCACCGAAGCUGCGGCAGCGACACUAUGUGUUGUUGGGUAGGGGAGCGUUCUGUAAGCCGUUGAAGGUGGCCUGUGAGGGUUGCUGGAGGUAUCAGAAGUGCGAAUGCUGACAUAAGUAACGAUAAUGCGGGUGAAAAACCCGCACGCCGGAAGACCAAGGGUUCCUGUCCAACGUUAAUCGGGGCAGGGUGAGUCGACCCCUAAGGCGAGGCCGAAAGGCGUAGUCGAUGGGAAACAGGUUAAUAUUCCUGUACUCGGUGUUACUGCGAAGGGGGGACGGAGAAGGCUAUGUUGGCCGGGCGACGGUUGUCCCGGUUUAAGCAUGUAGGCGGAUGUUCCAGGUAAAUCCGGAACGUCACUAACGCUGAGGUGUGAUGACGAGGCACUACGGUGCUGAAGUGACAAAUGCCCUGCUUCCAGGAAAAGCCUCUAAGCAUCAGGUAACAUCAAAUCGUACCCCAAACCGACACAGGUGGUCAGGUAGAGAAUACCAAGGCGCUUGAGAGAACUCGGGUGAAGGAACUAGGCAAAAUGGUGCCGUAACUUCGGGAGAAGGCACGCUGAUGGUAGGUGAAGUGACUUGCUCAUGGAGCUGAAAUCAGUCGAAGAUACCAGCUGGCUGCAACUGUUUAUUAAAAACACAGCACUGUGCAAACACGAAAGUGGACGUAUACGGUGUGACGCCUGCCCGGUGCCGGAAGGUUAAUUGAUGGGGUUAUCCUCGCGGAGAAGCUCUUGAUCGAAGCCCCGGUAAACGGCGGCCGUAACUAUAACGGUCCUAAGGUAGCGAAAUUCCUUGUCGGGUAAGUUCCGACCUGCACGAAUGGCGUAAUGAUGGCCAGGCUGUCUCCACCCGAGACUCAGUGAAAUUGAACUCGCUGUGAAGAUGCAGUGUACCCGCGGCAAGACGGAAAGACCCCGUGAACCUUUACUAUAGCUUGACACUGAACACUGGUCCUUGAUGUGUAGGAUAGGUGGGAGGCUUUGAAGUGUGGACGCCAGUCUGCAUGGAGCCAUCCUUGAAAUACCACCCUUUAAUGGCUGGUGUUCUAACGUGGGCCCGUGAUCCGGGUUGCGGACAGUGUCUGGUGGGUAGUUUGACUGGGGCGGUCUCCUCCUAAAGAGUAACGGAGGAGCACGAAGGUCAGCUAAUCCUGGUCGGACAUCAGGAGGUUAGUGCAAUGGCAUAAGCUGGCUUGACUGCGAGCGUGACGGCGCGAGCAGGUGCGAAAGCAGGUCAUAGUGAUCCGGUGGUUCUGAAUGGAAGGGCCAUCGCUCAACGGAUAAAAGGUACUCCGGGGAUAACAGGCUGAUACCGCCCAAGAGUUCAUAUCGACGGCGGUGUUUGGCACCUCGAUGUCGGCUCAUCACAUCCUGGGGCUGAAGUAGGUCCCAAGGGUAUGGCUGUUCGCCAUUUAAAGUGGUACGCGAGCUGGGUUUAGAACGUCGUGAGACAGUUCGGUCCCUAUCUGCCGUGGGCGCUGGAGAAUUGAGGGGGGCUGCUCCUAGUACGAGAGGACCGGAGUGGACGCAUCACUGGUGUUCGGGUUGUCAUGCCAAUGGCAUUGCCCGGUAGCUAAAUGCGGAAGAGAUAAGUGCUGAAAGCAUCUAAGCACGAAACUUGCCCCGAGAUGAGUUCUCCCUGACUCCUUGAGAGUCCUGAAGGAACGUUGAAGACGACGACGUUGAUAGGCCGGGUGUGUAAGCGCAGCGAUGCGUUGAGCUAACCGGUACUAAUGAACCGUGAGGCUUAACCUU